AACGAACGCUGGCGGCAUGCCUAACACAUGCAAGUCGAACGAGACCUUCGUGUCUUGUUGCGCACGUGUGCGUAACGCGUGGGAACCUGCCCUUAGGUUCGGUAUACCUUCCCGUAAGGUGUCUUCAUACCGGUUAAUGUCUUCCGACCAAAGAUUUCUCGCCUUUUGAUGGGCCCGCGUUGGAUUAGCGUGUUGGUAGGGUAAAAGCCUACCAAGGCGACGUUCCAUAGCUGGUUUGAGAGGAGGAUCUGCCACACUGGGACUGAGACACGGACCAGACUGGGACGGGAGGCAGCAGUGGGGAAUAUUGGACAAGGGGCGAAAGCCUGAUCCAGCAAUGCCGCGUGAGUGAUGAAGGCGUUAGGGUUGUAAAGCUGUUUUAGCCGGGAUGAUAAUGACAGUACCGGGAGAAUAAGCACCGGCUAACUACGUG
rnacentral:rRNA from 1 species